rnacentral:rRNA from 1 species
UACGUAGGGAGCAAGCGUUGUUCGGAUUUACUGGGCGUAAAGGGCGCGUAGGCGGCGCGGUAAGUCACUUGUGAAAUCUCUGAGCUUAACUCAGAACGGCCAAGUGAUACUGCAGUGCUAGAGUGCAGAAGGGGCAAUCGGAAUUCUUGGUGUAGCGGUGAAAUGCGUAGAUAUCAAGAGGAACACCUGAGGUGAAGACGGGUCUCUGGGCCGAUACUGACGCUGAGGAGCGAAAGCGUGGGGAGCGAACAGG